rnacentral:rRNA from 1 species
UACGGGGGGGGCAAGCGUUGUUCGGAAUUACUGGGCGUAAAGGGCUCGUAGGCGGCCAACUAAGUCAGACGUGAAAUCCCUCGGCUUAACCGGGGAACUGCGUCUGAUACUGGAUGGCUUGAGGUUGGGAGAGGGAUGCGGAAUUCCAGGUGUAGCGGUGAAAUGCGUAGAUAUCUGGAGGAACACCGGUGGCGAAGGCGGCAUCCUGGACCAAUUCUGACGCUGAGGAGCGAAAGCCAGGGGAGCAAAACGGG